AACCGGUAUACUGCGGGUUAAAAU
rnacentral:snRNA from 1 species